rnacentral:rRNA from 1 species
UACAGAGGGUGCGAGCGUUAAUCGGAGUUACUGGGCGUAAAGGGCGCGUAGGCGGUUAGGAAGGUGUGAUGUGAAAGCCCUGGGCUUAACCUAGGAAGUGCAUCGCAAACCACCAAACUGGAGUAUAGGAGAGGGUGGCGGAAUUUCCGGUGUAGCGGUGAAAUGCGUAGAGAUCGGAAGGAACGUCGAUGGCGAAGGCAGCCACCUGGCCUAAUACUGACGCUGAGGCGCGAAAGCGUGGGGAGCAAACAGG